AGUAACACGUGGGGAACCUGCCCCAUAGUCUGGGAUACCACUUGGAAACAGGUGCUAAUACCGGAUAAGAAAGCGGAUCGCAUGAUCAGCUUUUAAAAGGCGGCGUAAGCUGUCGCUAUGGGAUGGCCCCGCGGUGCAUUAGCUAGUUGGUAAGGUAAAGGCUUACCAAGGCGAUGAUGCAUAGCCGAGUUGAGAGACUGAUCGGCCACAUUGGGACUGAGACACGGCCCAAACUCCUACGGGAGGCAGCAGUA
rnacentral:rRNA from 1 species